AGAAUGCCCACCCCAACUCACGCCCUGACCAACUAAACACAUACAUAAACAAUGGAAAACAGGUCAGGAACGUGACAACUCUCUUGUUUUUGAUUUGGACAUUUAUAGAAACUGGGACUGAAGCUGACAACUAAUCUGGUUCCUUCCUGUGUAAGUUACAAGGGGAAACAGUACCAUUGAUCCUAUGUGGUAGCCUACGGAUGCUACUCCUACCCUGUAACCACGGCCAGACUUCAACAUCAUGUAGCUGGUGUCGGAUUUGUUGCCGCUCCAGCUCCACCACCCAUACAGACAGUCCGUAAAUUCUUCCCCGAGACAUGGAUAUGGGAUCUUGUGGAAGUUGGGAUGUUGUGUAUCCCUGGAAAUAAUCAGAAUUCAUGUCAACAUUAGUUUUGAAAACAAAGCUUGUCCAAAAAAAGCGGUCUCUUGGCACAACUUACGUAUGUGGGAGUCUGGAUCAGCAGAUGUGCCCCUUAAGGUUCCAGACACCAUCGCCCCCUGGGAGUCAGAGGCAUUCUGCCUGUUCCCUGGUGGUUUCGGUCUGGCUGCUCCAGUAAAACUUAGUUUUCCAGCCCUUCUUCCCGGAACUCCCCUUGCCUUACGCCAUCAUCCGUGGAGAGCAUUUUGAGCUGAAGGCCACUGUGUUCAACUACCUGUCCAAGUGCAUCAUGGUUUCUGUGACUCCGGCUCCUUCCUUAGACUACACUCACACACCCCUGCAUGAUGUCCAGUAUUCAUCAUGCUUGUGUGCCAAUGGACGAAAGACCUUCAGUUGGACAAUGGCACACU